UACGUAGGGGGGCAAGCGUUGUCCGGAAUCAUUGGGCGUAAAGAGCGUGUAGGCGGCCCGGUAAGUCCGCUGUGAAAGUCCAGGGCUCAACCCUGGGAUGCCGGUGGAUACUGUCGGGCUCGAGUCCGGAAGAGGAGUGUGGAAUUCCUGGUGUAGCGGUGAAAUGCGCAGAUAUCGGGAGGAACACCAAUGGCGAAGGCAGCUCGCUGGGACGGUACUGACGCUGAGACGCGAAAGCGUGGGGAGCGAACAGG
rnacentral:rRNA from 1 species